rnacentral:lncRNA from 1 species
AGAUGGGAAAUGUACAAGGAUAACGAACUGUUUAUUCCUAAAUAUAUAGAAUGGAAAGAAUUUUGCUUCAGAUUUCUUUAGCUCGCCUUGCUGUAUACUGUAGUAGAUAGCAACUUUUACAAAGUUGCUUUCCCUUAUUUAAUGCUACCUAGGGGAGUGACUUUGUCCUAAUUAGUUUGUUUUAUUAAGAAUAGAUUAAAAGCUCUUCUAGAAUGAGGUUCGACUGGCUAUCGUUAUGAGUUGACAUUUUAUUUUCUGGACAGUUCAUUAUGAAGGCGUUCUUGCCGAAACUGGUGAGGUUUUUGAUACUACACAUGAAGAUAAUACCAUCUUCACCUUUGAACUGGGCCAGGGAUCUGUAAUUAAGGCCUGGGACAUUGCACUAAAAACCAUGAAGGUGAGUGAGUAUUCAUGCUUUCAAUAGCUAUUAUUGUAGUGUUUUUCUACCAUAACUUUAUUUUCUUGAUUUAAUUAGCUAUUAUUGUUGAAUUGUUGAGAAUAACCACCUAAUAUAAUUUGUCUUUUGAUGGUUUUUCUAGGUUGGUGAGGUUGCAAAGAUCACUUGUAAGCCAGAAUAUGCAUAUGGCAGCGCUGGUUCUCCACCAGAUGUCCCCCCAGAGUAAAUGGGUUUCUUCUUUAAUCUUGAUCUUGUUGCAUAAACGUAAUCUAUGAAAAAUUCCAUCAUAAACACCCGUUAUUCUAAGUUUGGAAAGAAAAGUAAACGCUUAUUAUUUUGAACAUUUUGUAACAUCUCGUUAGCAUGAAAAAUUGUGGGGAAUACUUGUAUGAAAAAACUUCCCUAAUUUAUUGUCCUCCUAAAUACAUAAGUUUAAUGUUAGGAAUGUUGAACCACCCAUUUUCCUUAACUACUAAUUAUUACUUGAACGUUCCUUUCAAUUAAACGUGGCUAUAUUCCUGAGUGGCAAACCAAGGGGGAAGACUGUCACUCCUCAGGAUUAGUUGGGCAAAACUCGAACGCUUGAGUCACAAAAAAGAGAGAGGCUAUUUUCUAGAGGAGUUGAUAGAAAAUGAGUUGUCACUGAAGAGAAACAGGCAGUUGAAAGUUUCCGGAAAGGUUACAUUUUUGCAGGAAAAGACGAUAAAUGAUCAUUUCUUCUAUUUUUAAAUUUUCCACUAGCCCCACUGUUCGGAUGCUCAAGCUCAAUAUCAUGCAUAUUGCUUGUGUUUCUGUAUGGCAUUUUCAAUUCUUUUCCUGGAUGCCAAAUGCAUGAAAAAUUCAAAUAACUUCCCUUGACCUUCCUUUCUCUUGCCCAGCACCCAAGAACUAACUACUCGUUGGAUACUAGGAAGGUUAAUCUAGUCAAAAAAAAAUUUCUUGUGUUUGUUUGGUUGAAUAAAAUUUUUAAAGGAAAAUAGCUGGUGGUUGAAAAAAAAAAUGUGCAGUUUAAAUUUCCUCGUGAACUUCCUAUAUAUUUGUACUGGAAACAUUUUUUUCCCCUCCAGAAAAGUAUUUUCAAUUAUUAUCUUUUUACCCUACACAAAAAAUUAUAAAUGUGAAUUUUUUUGAAAUAUUCAUUUAUUUAUUUAUUUAUAUAUAUAUAUUUUGGCCAAACUGAAAUUAGUCUUUUGCUGAAAAUUUUAAUAAAUGUGAUAAUUCAAUGAUUUUGGUGCCUUUUUAUUAAAAUGUUCUUUGGGCAAUCUAUGCCAAGUUAACGAGUAAGACUAGAAUGUCUAUAUAGAAUUGGAACUCUCUUCAGUUUUGCCUAGUUCAAUGAGAAUGAUUAGAUGGUUUGAAAUUCGUGCAAAAAGGAAGAGUGUCUAAAAGUAAAUAGACUAUAAAUUCUUGUCUACUUUCAUGAAGUUGAAUGCCCGUGUGGUUUGGAAUUCCUACAAAAAGAAAGGGAGAGGUUUGGUUACAUAUUUGAAGAGAGAAGGGUAGAUUUGUCAAAAAGUUCAAAAGUUGGACAUGAUUGAUUAGUGUUUCCAAUGCUUGUACGGGACCCUUUUUUUAACUUAUGUGGCCGUCUAGUAGCUUGAGACUGAAUUGAGUGAGUCAGUGCGGCAGGUUGAAGGAGCUAACAUGCAUUUUUCUGGCAUUUUCCCUUACCGGUGUUUUUAAUUUUAAUUUUUUAAUUUUUUUUUAAAUGAAAUGUGGGCUGCCCCUCCAGAGAAAGUUGACAUAAUUCAUUUCUCUCCAAGUGUUCUAUGGGGGGGGGGGGCUUCCUGCACUUAUCUUUUUCAUUCUUAUAAUAAGAAUAUUUAGGUGUUUCAUUAUCCCCUCUCCGAAGGCUAAGGCCCUGUUCUCUUCGUAUUUCGGUUUUGUAUUUUUGAGUUUUGAAUUCAUUUUGGGUUUUGUGUUUUGAGUGCCUGUUUCGAAAUUGUUGAAAAUACGUUCUUUUUGUCACUCUACAAAAUUGUUUCUCAAAACACAAAAAUGGAAAACACGUUUGUUUUGAAAUUUUGAGAACGUCACCACCAGCCACCACUGCCAACCAAAAUCAACGCAACCACCAUUGACAUCGUCGAAAAUCACCAUUGUCGACCGUCACCACCAUCAUGAACCAUCACCAUCAACCAAAAUCACCACCACCACCACCAUGAACUAUCAACCAAAAUCAAUCAUUGCCACCGCCAAAAUCAACCACAAUCAACACCACCAUGAACCAUCAACCAUUGCAACCGCCACCGCCAUCAUCAUCAACCACUGUCAAAACUACCAAAAUCAACAUUAUAAGUAGAGGGGGAAAAGCAGAAAACGAAGAAGAAAGGGGAGAAACACAGAAACCAAAAUCAACGCCCAAAUCAACACCACCACCAUCACAAUCAGACAUCGAAGAGAGAGGAGAUGGAGACGGGCAAACGGAUCUGUCGCGACGCUGCAGUGAACUGUCGCAACGCUGCUGUUCACGGCAGUGUCACCUCCCCACGCCGGCGCCGGCUUCGACACUCACCGUUGUCGCCUCCCAACGCGAAGCCGACGUCCAGACGAAGAGGAGAAAGAGAGGGUUGAAGGAAGAGAGAAGGGAUAAGGUUUAAUGGGUUUCUUUCUCUUGUUUUCCGCGUUUUCAACUUUUUCUGGAUUUUUUACAGAAAACAUCCAAAACGCCAAUUUUGACGUUUUGUGUUUUCUUUACAUUUUUUGCUUUUGUUUUUGAAAAUUCGUUUUCGGAAACGGAAAAGAGAAUGCGUUUUCACUGUUUUCAAAAAUCGAAAAUAGAAAACGACUUGAAAACAGCAAAGAGAACAGGGCCUAAACUUGUGCUGCUUGUAAAUAAAAGCUACGUGGUCAGAGUCUUCCAUUAGCGUGCUUGUAAUGGUGUACUGAUUUCGUUAUGUAAUUUCAAUCAGGUCUUGAAUUUAGCUUUGCCUUGGAACUGCACAUGCAUUUGGCAGAUGGGAAAUGUACAAGGAUAACGAACUGUUUAUUCCUAAAUAUAUAGAAUGGAAAGAAUUUUGCUUCAGAUUUCUUUAGCUCGCCUUGCUGUAUACUGUAGUAGAUAGCAACUUUUACAAAGUUGCUUUCCCUUAUUUAAUGCUACCUAGGGGAGUGACUUUGUCCUAAUUAGUUUGUUUUAUUAAGAAUAGAUUAAAAGCUCUUCUAGAAUGAGGUUCGACUGGCUAUCGUUAUGAGUUGACAUUUUAUUUUCUGGACAGUUCAUUAUGAAGGCGUUCUUGCCGAAACUGGUGAGGUUUUUGAUACUACACAUGAAGAUAAUACCAUCUUCACCUUUGAACUGGGCCAGGGAUCUGUAAUUAAGGCCUGGGACAUUGCACUAAAAACCAUGAAGG